AGCCCCGAGGCUCCAAGCGAGGAUGGGGGGACCGGAGCCUCUCACCAGUGAACCGUCGAGGGGGUGGAGAGGGGGAAAUCCGCAGCCUGGGAUUGGCCGUCGCUCUGCCGGCCAAAGUGACGCGCGGCGGGCUGGCGUCCUUUGUGACGUCUACAAUCAGCUGUUUGAACAUUCCAAUUUGUGCCGUGACUUCCGCUGCUGCGGCCGGGGCACAGACACCAAGCCCCGCGGGCGAGCGCAGCAGCUCCAAGCAUCCGGCCGCUACCCUGCCGCCUCCCCGGCCCGGCUCCCGCGAUGCAGCCUGGCCUGUGAGCCGCUGGUCACUCUAGGACGCUCCGCCGCACAACUACCUCAGCGCCACCCCCUCCCGCCGCACCACUCUGCCCGUCGCACAGCUCUGCCUGCAGACCAGAGAGAAUGUCCGACAGCACGCUAGGUCUGGGGGGUUGAGGAGUUCGUCAGGAGGGUUCAAGGCGACCUCAGACUCCAGGUCUUUGGUGCCUUAGUUGAUGUCACGCCCAGCUUCCAAAUGAGGAGGUCUUAGACCCCAUUUCACGGAAGGGGAAACUGAGGCCCAGAGAGAGGAAGUAGUUUACUCUAAGUCACACAGCCAAUUAGAGUCAAGUUACCAGAUGGAUGCAUUAGCUGUGGGCAUAUACAUAGCAGGCACUCAAUGUAAGUAACAAGCUACACAAACUUCUUCCACUGGGCACCACUCCGAUUUGACAGGGCUCUUUGGUCUCCUCACUCCUGGCCCUUUUCCCAGGAGGUCUCUGGAGACUGGGUCCUCUUUGGUGGCCCUGACCCGCUUUGUCCUCAUUCUACCUUGGAGCCGCAUAAAAUCAGUGCUUCCUAGCUGUUUUGAUCAUAGAAAGGUGAGUCAUUGGCUGGUUGGUUAAGGUAGAACCUUAGGUGUAAAGUUUCACCCCAUUGGCCCCUCAUCAUCUCCCCACCCUAGACUUGUCAGCUAGGAGGGAUGUACUUGGCCCAGUGCUCAGUGACUGCAGAGG
rnacentral:lncRNA from 1 species